UUCUUGGAGAGUUUGAUCCUGGCUCAGGACGAACGCUGGCGGCGUGCCUAAUACAUGCAAGUCGAGCGAAUCAAUGGGAGCUUGCUCCUGUUGAUUAGCGGCGGACGGGUGAGUAACACGUGGGCAACCUGCCUGUAAGACUGGGAUAACACCGGGAAACCGGUGCUAAUACCGGAUAAUUCUUUCCCU
rnacentral:rRNA from 1 species